rnacentral:rRNA from 1 species
UACGUAGGGGGCGAGCGUUGUCCGGAUUCAUUGGGCGUAAAGCGCGCGUAGGCGGCUUCGUAAGUCGGCCGUGAAAUCUCCAGGCUUAACUUGGAGGGGUCGGGCGAGACUGCGGAGCUCGAGGUGGGCAGAGGGCAGUGGAAUUCCGGGUGUAGUGGUGGAAUGCGUAGAGAUCCGGAGGAACACCAGUGGCGAAGGCGGCUGCCUGGGCCUGGCCUGACGCUGAGGCGCGAAAGCGUGGGGAGCAAACGGG